AGAGUUUGAUCCUGGCUCAGAAUCAACGCUGGCGGCGUGCCUAACACAUGCAAGUCGAACGCGAAAACCCGCAAGGGCAAGUAGAGUGGCAAACGGGUGAGUAACGCGUGGGUGACCUGCCUUCGAGCGGGGGAUAACGUUCCGAAAGGGACGCUAAUACCGCAUGACAUUCCGUCGUUGAAGAGGCGGAAAUCAAAGCU
rnacentral:rRNA from 1 species